rnacentral:piRNA from 1 species
UCUGGAGCCCAGGAAAACGAAAC